GAGAGAGAGAGAAAGGAAGGAUUGAUUUCCGAAAUUCUAUAUGCCUCUACCGAUUACCUUUCUUUAUUUCUAUUUCUGAGAGAGAGAGAGAGAGAGAGAGAGAGAACGUGAGAUUGAGAGAGAGAGAGAGAGAGAGAGAGAGAGAGAGAGCACACACCCUCUGAAUGACAGGUAAGCUUUCCUAGAUUCACUCCACUCGAGUGUUCCUAGAAGCGCUUUUCGGCGGAAUCCGAGAUAAUAACUUGAACUUCAUCUGUUUCAUCGAAACCCACCACCAAACCUCCACGAAACUCCGUUCGACGUCGGUCGUAGUCGACAUCGUUCUCUCAUUCUCUGAAAAGUCAAGUCGACGCAUCGACAGCUGGUCGACGAUACGUCGCGCGUGAAAGUAUUCCAGGACAAGUGAUUUUUGUCAAUGAAGGAAGAAAAAAUCUUCAUACAAAUCAUCCAUAUAUCAUCAUCUCUACUGCUGGCAUUUUACCAAGCACAUUUUAAAAGCUGUCUCUUCGUCAACUUGGGAGGUCAAUGAUUCACUGUGGCUAUGCAAUCUGCACUUGAGGAGAGGAUUCUGUAAGAUAUGGUUGGAAACCAUUGGGUUUGUUGACGAUACGUUCGGUCUCUUUAAAAGUGAAUAUGAAGCUGACCUCUUCGUAGAAUAUGCCAAUGCAAUACAACCGAGCGUAAAGUUUACGAUCGAAAAAGAGGCGAACGACCGUCUACCAUUCCUGGACGUUUUAGUUUUCAGAAAAAAGGACUGUUUUAAUACCACGAUUUUUAGGAAGAAAAGUUUUACUGGACUUCGUACCAACUUUUAUAGCUCUUGUUUUAUGAAUUUUAGGCCAAACUCUGUUUCUACCCUUCUCCACCGAGCACUUGUCCUUACGUCGAACUGGGUCCUUUUCCAUAAUGAAAUAACAUUUUUAAUUGACUUUUUUUUAACAAUAACUGUUACCCUGCUAAGCUGGUUUAUAUGAAAUUUGAUCAACUACUGAAAAAAACAUUUCUUUGCUAAACCAAAAGUUUUAACUGUCCCAAAAAUUAAGUUCUAUGCAUGCUUUCCAUUUACACAUGACCUCAAAUUUCACAAAAAGUUCACAGAAAUCAUUCAGGAACAUUUUCAUGCCAUAGACGUAAAAUGAAUCCCUAAGAACCCUUUCACCAUCGGUUCCCUCAUUACCUCGAAGGAGCGAUUACCACCUUAUGUCCUCUGGUGUUAUUUAUAAAUAUACUUGCCCUGAAUGUCAAACAGGGACCUAUGUGGGAUCCACCAGCAGACUCCUUAAGGUGCGUAUCGAUUCUCAUCGUAGAAUAAGCUUCCGUACUGGCAGCAGAAUUGCAAACCCGGAACACUCCAAUAUUAGAAAUCACUCCAAAAUGUGUAAAACAUAUAUCGAUAAUAAAGACUUCUGUAUUUUAGGCCAUACCACCAACCCGCAAGACCUUGUUAUUCUGGAAUCUCUCUUUAUUAAACAACUUGUUCCGUCGUUGAACACCCAUACGUCAUCCUCCCCUCUGUAUUUGUCUUGACUUGUGUUGUUUAUUUAUGUUUUUAUGUUUACGUUUAGUUUAACGCUGUCACUCCUCUAGGUCGUUCCUUAACUUCUUGUUCUGUAACUCUGUUCACUGCUGCUUUCAAUUUUUGUAAAUUUUUUUUUAUUUUAUGUUCAUUUAUCCUUCAUUUUAAUGUAUGUCCUUUUAAAUAAUUCAAUUCCCUUAAUUUUAAUGUGUACAUUUUGUACACUUUGUAAGAAUAAUUUUUUAACUUUUAAAAGCAUUACUGAAUUUUUAUUUUUUAGUUUUGUUUUUACAAUUUUACUAGGAAUUUUAGUUUUCAUUUUAACAGCCUGAUGAUGUAAUUAAUUGGAUAAUUACAAAACGUCGCAAU